rnacentral:rRNA from 5 species
GACCUCGGAUCAGACGUGAAUACCCGCUGAACUUAAGCAU